rnacentral:rRNA from 1 species
UACGAAGGGGCUAGCGUUGCUCGGAAUCACUGGGCGUAAAGGGUGCGUAGGCGGGUCUUUUAAGUCAGGGGUGAAAUCCUGGAGCUCAACUCCAGAACUGCCUUUGAUACUGAAGAUCUUGAGUUCGGGAGAGGUGAGUGGAACUGCGAGUGUAGAGGUGAAAAUUCGUAGAUAUUCGCAAGAACACCAGUGGCGAAGGCGCUCACUGGCCCGAUACUGACGCUGAGGCACGAA